rnacentral:rRNA from 1 species
CGGACGGGUGAGUAAUGUCUGGGAAACUGCCUGAUGGAGGGGGAUAACUGCUGGAAACGGUAGCUAAUACCGCAUAACGUCGCAAGACCAAAGAGGGGACCUUCGGGCCUCUUGCCAUCGGAUGUGCCCAGAUGGGAUUAGCUAGUAGGUGGGGUAACGGCUCACCUAGGCGACGAUCCCUAGCUGGUCUGAGAGGAUGACCAGCCACACUGGAACUGAGACACGGUCCAG